GACGAACGCUGGCGGCGUGCUUAACACAUGCAAGUCGAACGGAAAGGCCCAGCUUGCUGGGUGCUCGAGUGGCGAACGGGUGAGUAACACGUGGGUGAUCUGCCUCUAACUUCGGGAUAAGCUUGGGAAACUGGGUCUGAUACCGGAUAGGACAAUCGUUUAGUGUCGGUUGUGGAAAGUUUUUUCGGUUAGGGAUAAGCCCGCGGCCUAUCUGCUUGUUGGUGGGGUAAUGGCCUACCAGGCGUCGACGGGUAGCCGGCCUGAGAGGGUGGACGGCCACAUUGGGACUGAGAUACGGCCCAGACUCCUACGGGAGGCAGCAGUGGGGAAUAUUGCACAAUGGGCGCAAGCCUGAUGCAGCGACGCCGCGUGGGGGAUGACGGCCUUCGGGUUGUAAACCUCUUUCGACAGGGACGAAGCUUUGGUGACGGUACCUGUAUAAGAAGCACCGGCUAACUACGUGCCAGCCGCCGCGGUAA
rnacentral:rRNA from 1 species